rnacentral:rRNA from 1 species
AACGUAGGAGACAACCGCUAUCCGGAGUUACUGGGCGUAAAGGGCGUGCAGGCGGUCUGUUAAGUCUGGCGUGAAAGCUCUCGGCUAAACCGGGAGAGGUCGUUGGAUACUGGCGAACUAGAGGAUGGUAGAGGCGUGUGGAAUUCCGGGUGUAGUGGUGAAAUGCGUAGAGAUCCGGAGGAGCACCAGUGGCGAAGGCGACACGCUGGGCCAUACCUGACGCUAAAGCGCGACAGCAUGGGGAGCAAGCGGG